rnacentral:rRNA from 1 species
GAUGAACGCUGGCGGCGUGCCUAAUACAUGCAAGUCGAGCGAACAGAUGAGGAGCUUGCUCCUCUGACGUUAGCGGCGGACGGGUGAGUAACACGUGGAUAACCUACCUAUAAGACUGGGAUAACUUCGGGAAACCGGAGCUAAUACCGGAUAAUAUAUUGAACCGCAUGGUUCAAUAGUGAAAGACGGUUUUGCUGUCACUUAUAGAUGGAUCCGCGCCGCAUUAGCUAGUUGGUAAGGUAACGGCUUACCAAGGCAACGAUGCGUAGCCGACCUGAGAGGGUGAUCGGCCACCCUGGAACUGAGACACGGUCCAGACUCCUACGGGAGGCAGCAAUAGGGAAUCUUCCGCAAUGGGCGAAAGCCUGACGGAGCAACGCCGCGUGAGUGAUGAAGGUCUUCGGAUCGUAAAACUCUGUUAUUAGGGAAGAACAAAUGUGUAAGUAACUAUGCACGUCUUGACGGUACCUAAUUAGAAAGCCACGGCUAACUACGUG